GUGCAGCAGUCGCGAAACCUCCGCAAUACACGAAAGUGUGACGGGGCCAUCCCGAGUACCGUCCGCUGAGGACGGCUUUCCCCAGUGUACAUAGCUGGGGGAAUAAGGAGAGGGCAAGCCUGGUGUCAGCCGCCGCGGUAAUACCAGCUCUCCGAGUGGUGGGGACGCUUAUUGGGCCUAAAGCAUCCGUAGCCGGCUAGGCAAGUCCUCCGUUAAAUCCAACGAUUCAAUCGUUGGGCUGCGGGGGAUACUGUCCAGCUUGGGGGCGGGAGAGGCCGACGGUAUUCCCGGGGUAGGGGUGAAAUCCUAUAAUCCCGGGAGGACCACCAGUGGCGAAGGCUGUCGGCUAGAACGCGCCCGACGGUGAGGGAUGAAAGCUGGGGGAGCGAACCGGAUUAGAUACCCGUGUAGU
rnacentral:rRNA from 1 species